GUCUAGUACUCAGAGUUUGAUCCUGGCUCAGGACGAACGCUGGCGGCGUGCUUAACACAUGCAAGUCGAACGGAGUUACGUUUUCGGAUGUAACUUAGUGGCGAACGGGUGAGUAACGCGUGAGGAACCUGCCUCUCAGUGGGGGACAACAGUUGGAAACGACUGCUAAUACCGCAUAAUGCUAUUGACCGGCAUCCCUUUGGUACCAAAGAUUUAUCGCUGAAAGAUGGCCUCGCGUCUGAUUAGAUAGUUGGUGGGGUAACGGCCUACCAAGUCUGCGAUCAGUAGCCGGACUGAGAGGUUGAUCGGCCACAUUGGGACUGAGAUACGGCCCAG
rnacentral:rRNA from 1 species